rnacentral:misc_RNA from 1 species
GGCAAAUAUCCAAACAAGGAAAGUGAUGUCUCCAAAUAAGGUAAAUGGACCAAAACUAACAAGGGACCCUAAGGAGCACUAAAAGGUGGACCAAAACCUAAAUGGGACUUCAAGACCCUUGCAUGGGGAAAUGGGCCAAUGGGCCUUGUAAUAAAAUAGAGCUUUUAUUUUUUUUAAGUUUUGGGCUUGUAAUAUUUUCUUCUCCCUCCAUUCUUUAGUUUUAGGAUUAUUUAAAAUGGUGUGUAAUCUUUUCU